rnacentral:rRNA from 1 species
CCUACGGGUGGCAGCAGUGAGGAAUAUUGGACAAUGGACGAGAGUCGGAACCAGCCAAGUAGCGGGAAGGAUGACUGCCCUAGGGGUUGUAAACUUCUUUUAUAAAGGAAUAAAACGAGGCACGUGUGCCUUUUUGCAUGUACUUUAUGAAUAAGGAUCGGCUAACUCCGUGCCAGCAGCCGCGGUAAUACGGAGGAUCCGAGCGUUAUCCGGAUUGAUUGGGUUUAAAGGGAGCGUAGAUGGGUUGUUAAGUCAGUUGUGAAAGUUUGCGGCUCAACCGUAAAAUUGCAAUUGAUACUGGCAGUCUUGAGUACAGUUGAGGUAGGCGGAAUUCGUGGUGUAGCGGUGAAAUGCUUAGAUAUCACGAAGAACCCCGAUUGCGAAGGCAGCUUACUAAACUGUGACUGACAUUGAUGCUCGAAAGUGUGGGUAUCAAACAGGAUUAGAUACCCCGGUAGUC